rnacentral:rRNA from 1 species
UGGGGGGGGCCCUUCGGGAGGCAGCAGUGGGGAAUUUUGGACAAUGGGCGCAAGCCUGAUCCAGCAAUGCCGCGUGAGUGAAGAAGGCCUUCGGGUUGUAAAGCUCUUUUGUCAGGGAAGAAACGGUUCAGGCUAAUAUCCUGGGCUAAUGACGGUACCUGAAGAAUAAGCACCGGCUAACUACGUGCCAGCAGCCGCGGUAAUACGUAGGGUGCAAGCGUUAAUCGGAAUUACUGGGCGUAAAGCGUGCGCAGGCGGUUUUGUAAGUCUGACGUGAAAGCCCCGGGCUCAACCUGGGAAUUGCGUUGGAGACUGCAAGGCUUGAAUCUGGCAGAGGGGGGUAGAAUUCCACGUGUAGCAGUGAAAUGCGUAGAGAUGUGGAGGAACACCGAUGGCGAAGGCAGCCCCCUGGGUCAAGAUUGACGCUCAUGCACGAAAGCGUGGGGAGCAAACAGGAUUAGAUACCCUGGUAGUCCACGCCCUAAACGAUGUCUACUAGUUGUCGGGUUUUAAUUAACUUGGUAACGCAGCUAACGCGUGAAGUAGACCGCCUGGACUCUC